rnacentral:lncRNA from 12 species
AUGAGAACCUUACUUCAUUCUGAGAGAGCUGCUUCCAUUUUCAGAAAGUUCUACAGAGAAUUACAGUUAUUCAGUGCUGUACUGCUGUGGGGCAAGAAGAGUCUCUCUUUGCCUCUCUCAGUGCAGUUUUUCUAGGACACUUUGGGAAAACGUCAAAGAGAAUGUCAGAGCUGAUUUUUCAUCAGACUUCAGUAGGUACAAAUCACUACUAGUAAUUUUGAUAUUGUCUGAACCAAGUAAAGCAGACUCAGAUCUACAUACAGUUAGAUAUAAGUAGGGAGAUGCAAUUGACUUCAAAACGACUAGAUUUUAUUUUGCUUAAGUGGAACAGUGACAUCUAGUGCCUGCAAAAUUAUGUCACUGGAUCUGAAGGAAGAUUAAAAUAGACAUGCCAUGAAGAUGAAUGAAGGAUCAUGUGUUACUUACAUCUGCAGAGAUUGGUCUGUUCUCUGUUUUCAUGGGUACAUGAAAUUCAUGCACUUCCUUCUAGCCAUUCUCCUUAAUUCUGGACCCACCACAUACUAACAUAUUGCUCUUCUACUUAGAGUUCUUUAAGGCAUUCCUUAAUUCUCUUCUUCCUGCCAAUCUAAUUU